rnacentral:rRNA from 1 species
GACGAACGCUGGCGGCGUGCUUAACACAUGCAAGUCGAACGGUAAGGCCCUUCGGGGUACACGAGCGGCGAACGGGUGAGUAACACGUGGGUGAUCUGCCCUGCACUUCGGGAUAAGCCUGGGAAACUGGGUCUAAUACCGGAUAGGACCACUGCCUGCAUGGGUGGUGGUGGAAAGCUUUUGCGGUGUGGGAUGGGCCCGCGGCCUAUCAGCUUGUUGGUGGGGUGCUGGCCUACCAAGGCGACGACGGGUAGCCGGCCUGAGAGGGUGACCGGCCACACUGGGACUGAGAUACGGCCCAGACUCCUACGGGAGGCAGCAGUGGGGAAUAUUGCACAAUGGGCGCAAGCCUGAUGCAGCGACGCCGCGUGAGGGAUGACGGCCUUCGGGUUGUAAACCUCUUUCAGCACCGACGAAGCGCAAGUGACGGUAGGUGCAGAAGAAGGACCGGCCAACUACGUGCCAGCCGCCGCGGUAA